rnacentral:lncRNA from 1 species
UUCUCGGGGAUACCUUGGCCGAGGCAUCUAACCGAGUUCGCUAAGGCUGUUAAAAAGUUCGUAUACACGUAAACAUAUUUUUAGUUUGAAAAACACAGCCAUUCCUUGGCGUUAGCGGAGUUCAUCAUCACGAGGUGGUUCGGCGUGACGUGAACUCUAUCCAUACCUCAAAAGAUACCCUACGCGCCUCUCCAACCGAGGUACAUAUAUAUAUCCAGAUUUCGUACCCCUCUAAUAGGUUGGUCCACAGAACCCGCCCACUGCAACAAGCUAAACCCACCAUACAAUAAAAUUUUGACAGCAUGACAUGACUAAUAUAGUACUACCCAACCUGCAAGUGUAAAAUAGAACAAUUCAUACAGUUCACAAAAAUACAACCCAGCCAGUCAUGCCAACACAUUAACAUAAGCCAUCAAUUCAAAUCAUAAAUUUACAACAUACCGGUGGUCUCUAAUUACUCUAUUUUCAAAAUUGUUAUUCAAUUUCAAGAUAAUUUAUAAAAUCUUUCCAUGUAAACACAUUCUGUUUGUAAAACACAACAAUUUACCAUUUAAACUCAUUUUCAUAAAAUUUCACCAAAACCGAUUAAAAACACACUUUAGAUAAUUAAAAUGAUAGUAAGGUUACUCACUAUUUCGGGAGUCGAAUUUCUAAAGUACUCUGACUACCGAUCCUCGGAUACAAUUUCCUAGCCUUUAUCGGAGGAUUCACCACCUAGACAUAGUACAAAAUCGAAAAACUUACUACAUUGGUACUAAAUUGAAAUUAAACUAAUUUAGACUAUUAAUGGAUGAUAUGGAAUGCAAAAAUGUCCGAAUAGCCGUUUAAAUACGAUAUUCGACCUAAUUCGCACUAUUCUUGGUGUAAUUGGCUAAAACCUCCAAUUUAACUCCAAAUCGAUUUCUUUCACUUUUUACACUCUAAUUAUACUUAAAAUACCUCAAUGAUUGUGAAUAUGAUUUAAUUUAUCAGUUCGAACUAUAAAUCACACAUGUCUAUACAUUAGGUAAAAAUUCAGAUUUUCAUGCCAAAAUUUCCCAUUAAAUUUCUAGCCUCACCAAUCAUUAAAUACCACCAAAAUAUCAUGAAAUAUCAUCAAUUUCNUUUUCAUGCCAAAAUUUUCCAUUAAAUUUCUAGCCUCACCAAUCAUUAAAUGACACCAAAAUAUCAUGAAAUAUCAUCAAUUUCAGCCUCAAUAUCCUCCCUAAAAAAUUCGGCCAAUGAUGGGUAAUGGGAGAAAAAUGAAUUUUUUUCUUGUUGUUUAGUUUCUUAGACAUGAUAAACUAACCAAAAACACUAGCAUAACUUAAAAUCAAAUCAAUCCAACUUCAUUCUCUCCCCAUACCCAUUCCAACCAGCCAUGAAUUCACCAUGAAAACAUUGAAAUCUAACCUUGGAAAAUGAAAAAGAAAGCAUUGGGUAGUGUAAAUCACAAGUCAAAAUCAAGAAAUUUUACCUUUAUUAGCUUAAUCCCUUGAAAUCCCACAC